UAGAAAAUCAAUUUAACUGAGUUCUCGGUUAUUUCUAUAAUCAGUUAACACUGAGUCUGAGCAAAACAAAACUCAUACUAUUCAGGAGUCUGAUAAAUAACAAAGAAUUAUAAAAGUAAUUAUGUUGAGGUUCAUUAAAAGUAACUCGUUAAAUGUACAUAUGUUUUGAAAUCUCAUGUUGUUAUCUGGCUGUGCCAUUACCAUGGUGACGUGGAUGCCAUGGCAGGAAAUACUUGGUGGACGCUUCUCCUUAUAUGUUCACUUUAAAAAAAAAAAAAAAUUGCAGCUCGACGCUCCUAUUAAAAUAGAGGACGUUUUUGGCUCAAUCAAGUGUAUGCGAGCGGUAAGGCCCCAGGCUCAGACAGAUUUCCAGCUGAGUUGUUAAAAAAAUUUAAAGACAAGCUAGCCCCUCUCCUUCUUGAUCUAUAUAAUGAAUCACUGAGAAAAGGCUGGCUGCCCCCCACUUUAACGAAGGCAUCUAUUUCAGUUUUACUGAAGAAAGGCAAAGAGCCUCAAUCAAUGCCAAGUCCUACAGGCCCCUUCUCUAUUUGCAAAUUAGACUGUGUCUCAUCACUGUUUCCAAAUUCCCCAAUUCUCCCUGCUGAUCCAUCAUGGGUUGACCUUCUGGCUGUUACGCCUAAUCAAAAAUCACCUCUAUCAAAUAUAUAUUGUAUGCUUAUGGUGACCGAAUCUAAUCCAUCAGGUAAAAUCACAACCGCCUGG
ensembl:lncRNA